rnacentral:rRNA from 1 species
GACGAACGCUGGCGGCGUGCUUAACACAUGCAAGUCGGGGGGCGGGGUAACCCGUCACCGGCGAACGAGUGCGGAACACGUGAGCGACCUGCCCUGGUGUGGGGGAUAGCCGGCCCAAAGGCCGGGUAAUACCGCAUACGACCCCCGCCGGGAAGCGGGAGGCGAAAGUCGCAAGAGGCACUAGGAGGGGCCCGCGGCCUAUCAGCUGGGUUGUGCGGUAACGGCGCACCAAGGCGAUGACGGGUAGCUGGCCUGAGAGGAUGGCCAGGAACAUUGGGACGGAGCGACGGCCCAGGCUAGUACGGGAGGCGGAAGUGGGGAAGAUUGGGCAAUGGGCGAAAGAGUGACGCCGCGAGGCUGCGUGGGGGAUGAGGCCCGUAGGGGUGUAAACUCCGGUUGCAAGGGAAGAAUGCCCAGAAUCGGCGGGGUUGACGUUACCGGGUGAGGAAGCACCGGCUAACUCUGUG